rnacentral:tRNA from 2 species
GGGCCUAUAGCUCAGUUGGUUAGAGCAGUGGACUCAUAAUCCAUUGGUCCUUGGUUCGAGUCCAAGUAGGCCCACCA